rnacentral:rRNA from 1 species
GAUGAACGCUGGCGGCGUGCCUAAUACAUGCAAGUCGAGCGAACAGGCGAGGAGCUUGCUCCUCUGACGUUAGCGGCGGACGGGUGAGUAACACGUGGAUAACCUACCUAUAAGACUGGGAUAACUUCGGGAAACCGGAGCUAAUACCGGAUAAUAUAUUGAACCGCAUGGUUCAAUAGUGAAAGACGGUUUUGCUGUCACUUAUAGAUGGAUCCGCGCCGCAUUAGCUAGUUGGUAAGGUAACGGCUUACCAAGGCAACGAUGCGUAGCCGACCUGAGAGGGUGAUCGGCCACACUGGAACUGAGACACGGUCCAGACUCCUACGGGAGGCAGCAGUAGGGAAUCUUCCGCAAUGGGCAAAAGCUUGACGGAGCAACGCCGCGUGAGUGAUGAAGGUCUUCGGAUCGUAAAACUCUGUUAUUAGGGAAGAACAAAUGUGUAAGUAACUAUGCACGUCUUGACGGUACCUAAGCAGAAAGCCACGGCUAACUACGU